rnacentral:rRNA from 1 species
GUGUCAGCCGCCGCGGUAAUACGUAGGGGGCAAGCGUUGUUCGGAAUUACUGGGCGUAAAGCGCACGUAGGCGGCUUUGUAAGUUAGAGAUGAAAGCCUGGAGCUUAACUCCAGAACUGCCUUUAAGACUGCAUCGCUUGAAUCCGGGAGAGGUGAGUGGAAUUCCGAGUGUAGAGGUGAAAUUCGUAGAUAUUCGGAAGAACACCAGUGGCGAAGGCGGCUCACUGGACCGGUAUUGACGCUGAGGUGCGAAAGCGUGGGGAGCAAACAGGAUUAGAAACCCUGGUAGUCC